UUAAAUAACUCCAAAAAUCCAAAUUUCCGCUGUUAAUUUCGGCCGCGGGGAUGUGGGUGAGACGCGGGAUGGGGUGAGGAUGGAGCAGGGUCCGUGCUGCUCCUCCUCCCCUUAAAUAAGGAUGGGAUAAUUGAUGAAUUCUCCCGAUGCGCUGGGCAGCUCAUUAACUGACGGGCCUAAUGAGCUGCUGGGGCUGUCCAAGGAGCCAGGAGAGUUGGGAUGGGGGGAAAUGUUGGAUCCGGGCUCAGGAUUGCCGGAGCAAGAGAUCCAGGAGCAGGAUGGGGCUGGGCUGAAGUGCGAGAGCUGCUGGAAGAUCCCUGGAAUCCAGAGGAUCCCUGGAAUGCCAGGCCGGUGAGGACAUUUGGGUCCGAUGGAGCAGGAGACUCCUCAGGUUCCUGGAGGUGUGGAAGAAAUGGUUCCUUUGAAAUUCCUCGGGAUGUCACACUUCAUGCAUUCCAGCAGUUGGGAUUUUCCUCUUUUUUCCCCCAGCCUUGCGAUUCUGGAGGAUUCUCCGCCCUGACCUAAGAACACGUCAGCAUUUCCCACUGUCCUGUUUGCUGAGAAAAGCCUGAAAACACCAACCCUAAAGGGUAAAAGCUACGAGAGAAAUAAAAACCUGGUAAAAGGC